GCCUUUUGAGUAUGUAUAGUACACUCGCCUUCCAAGCAAGAAGAUUAAAUGUUUUUAAAAAAGGUA
rnacentral:tRNA from 1 species